UGUGAGCUCGAUGAGUAGGGCGGGACACGUGGUAUCCUGUCUGAAUAUGGGGGGACCAUCCUCCAAGGCUAAAUACUCCUGACUGACCGAUAGUGAACCAGUACCGUGAGGGAAAGGCGAAAAGAACCCCGGCGAGGGGAGUGAAAAAGAACCUGAAACCGUGUACGUACAAGCAGUGGGAGCACAGGUUUACCUGUGUGACUGCGUACCUUUUGUAUAAUGGGUCAGCGACUUAUAUUCUGUAGCAAGGUUAACCGUAUAGGGGAGCCGUAGGGAAACCGAGUCUUAACCGGGCGUUAAGUUGCAGGGUAUAGACCCGAAACCCGGUGAUCUAGCCAUGGGCAGGUUGAAGGUUGGGUAACACUAACUGGAGGACCGAACCGACUAAUGUUGAAAAAUUAGCGGAUGACCUGUGGCUGGGGGUGAAAGGCCAAUCAAACCGGGAGAUAGCUGGUUCUCCCCGAAAGCUAUUUAGGUAGCGCCUCGUGAAUUCAUCUCCGGGGGUAGAGCACUGUUUCGGCUAGGGGGCCAUCCCGGCUUACCAACCCGAUGCAAACUGCGAAUACCGGAGAAUGUUAUCACGGGAGACACACGGCGGGUGCUAACGUCCGUCGUGAAGAGGGAAACAACCCAGACCGCCAGCUAAGGUCCCAAAGUCAUGGUUAAGUGGGAAACGAUGUGGGAAGGCCCAGACAGCCAGGAUGUUGGCUUAGAAGCAGCCAUCAUUUAAAGAAAGCGUAAUAGCUCACUGGUCGAGUCGGCCUGCGCGGAAGAUGUAACGGGGCUAAACCAUGCACCGAAGCUGCGGCAGCGACGCUUAUGCGUUGUUGGGUAGGGGAGCGUUCUGUAAGCCUGUGAAGGUGUGUCGUGAGGCAUGCUGGAGGUAUCAGAAGUGCGAAUGCUGACAUAAGUAACGAUAAAGCGGGUGAAAAGCCCGCUCGCCGGAAGACCAAGGGUUCCUGUCCAACGUUAAUCGGGGCAGGGUGAGUCGACCCCUAAGGCGAGGCCGA
rnacentral:rRNA from 1 species